AACUAUGUGAUUUCAUUACUUUAUUUAAUUAAAAUAUCCCACAGCGUAUCACACCACCCAAACCUCAGAGCACUAUGGACAUAGACAAACAGAUGAUGUUAAUGGGUCUGCUUUCGGCAGCCUUCGUCAGCCCUGUGUUUGCUGGAGAAUGGAAGGCCAGUGUUGUGAAAAGCCUCGAUGCUCUGGUUUCAUCCUGUGUUGUGAUUCCCUGUUCGUUCACCCAUCCGGAAGGAAACCUGCCUACCUCCAGACUCAGAGGGAUCUGGCAUAUUUCAGACCAAAGAGAUCGACGCAUCUAUCACGAGGAUAACACGCUAGUUUUAGACAAAUUUAAGGGACGCACAAAGUUGUUGGGACAUCUGGGUCAGAGCAACUGCACCUUAGAAAUAAUUGAAAUCAAAGAUCAUGACAGCGGCCCUUUCUGUUUCCGGAUUGAACUUACAAAAACAGAGACUGUUGCACCGGAGAAGUUCUCUUUUGUCGAGGAAUGUGUCGAUCUGAAAAUGCUCCCUGAUCCUCCAAAGCCCAAACUGACUCAACUAAAAUCUGCCGUUCAAGGACUCCCCUCCGUUCUCACCUGUACAGUCCCUCACACCUGCCCCUCUCGGGCCCCUAAACUCACAUGGAGCAGGGGCACUGCAGACGGGAUCGCUGAGGUCCACAGAGAAAUCCAUGCAGGAAACUGGGAGAUGCAGUCCAUCCUAACGUUCAUUCCUGAAGACAAGGAUGAUCACAGUGAAGUCAUCUGCACAUCCACUUUUAAUGGAGGCAAAACAUCAUCUGAAACACUGACACUCAAUGUAAAACGAAGAGAAAACUAUAACCACAUCAUCAUUCCCACAGUGGUAGGGAUUGGUACAGCUGUGAUCUUUGCAUUCUUUUGUCUUUUCAUGGUGAAAAAAUACAAGGCUCGCAUUGCAGAACUUCAAAGUCAGGAUGGCAAUGUGUGGAACCGGCUGUCCAGGCUGUCACACAGGAUACGUUCCAAUGGCCCAGGACCAUCUCGAUCCGAACAAAGGCAAGAUAAUGUUUAUUUUGGACUCUUUUUACAAGUGCAGAAGCAUCUCUAGUGACUAAUUCAGUAAAUUCCCUUUACUUAGACAAACACAAUGAUGCUUGGCCAAGCAAUAAUUUGCAUGUACAGAAGCUUGCCUGUUAGUUUUAAGAUAAGGUUGAAGCAUUUAUUUUUAUUCCUAUUCAAAUUUGCAUGGUUUCUGUUCUCCUUUUUUUUGCAGAAGGUCAAUUUGGAGCAGAUUUUCAAGGGUGCUCUGGUGGGUCUCUAAAGACUCUUCAACUAGUCCAGAACGCUGCAGCUCGUGUACUGACUAGAACUAGGAAAAGGGACCACAUUACUCCUGUGUUGGCUUCUCUGCACUGGCUCCCUAUACAGUCUAGAAUAGAAUUCAAGAUCCUUCUUCUCACUUACAAAGCUCUAAAUGGCCAGGCACCAUCUUAUCUGAAGGAGCUACUAGUGCCGUACUGCCCCUCAAGAACAUUACGGUCCCAGAAUGCAGGCCUGCUAGUGGUACCUACAGUCUCUAAAUGUACUAUGGGAGGUAAAGCCUUCAGUUAUCGGGCUCCUCUCCUCUGGAAUCGUCUUCCAGCCGGGGUCCGGGAGGCAGACACAGUCUGUAUUUUUAAGAAUAGACUUAAAACUUUCCUUUUUGAUGAAUCUUAUAGUUAGGGCUGGUGCUGGUGUAGACCAGCUCCUAGUUAUGCUGCUAUAGGCUUAGACUACCGGGGGAACUGGCACCUUGAGCUCCUCUCUCUCUCUCUCUCUCUCUCUCUGUGCAUAUACAGUACAUCAUAUUACUGCAUGUAUCUAUCUGUAAAUCUCAGUCACUAACCACCUACUCUCCUGGGAGCUCUUGAGCUCUCUUAGGCUCCUUG